ensembl:rRNA 5S_rRNA 5S ribosomal RNA
AAUAAAAGUUAAAUCCCAGCUGCUCUGCUGUGAUCUUGUCAGAUCUCACAAGCUAAGCAGGUCGAACUUGGUAAUUAGAUAGGAGACCUCUGAGGAAAACCCAGGGUGCUAUAC